UUCAGAAAUUGCGCUCAAGAUUUAUGUCUAAACUUUUCGCUCAAAACUCAAAAAAAUUCGCAAAUUUUUUUCAAUUCCCUCCAUCAUCAAUCUUCCGCAUUAUGAAAAUUAGGUCAAUAUUAGUUUUCUCUUCAUCCUCUAUAGGUGACACAAAAAACUCCAACCUCAAGUGAAGCGUGGGAUUCUUGGGAGAGGGUGUGAAUAAUUCGCGCAAAUAUUGAUCGGUUUCUCAUCUGAUUUCAGGAAACCCCAUUUCAAGAACUGUUUCAUCACAAGUUCAAGGUAUUAAGAGAAAACUAAUUCGUCUACAGCUCCAGGAACAACCCAGCGAAGAGCAGAUCGCCGAGUUAAGGAAGCAUCAAUGCAUCUUAUUCGACACAGAUGGCGAUGGAUCUGAUUUAUUCUAGGAGCAGAAGGCAUGAAAUCCAGGAUCUGAUUUCUUCUGAUGCAAUUUCCAAAUUACUCACUGAAGCAUCACUUUCUCAUACAAUACAGAUAACUCUUUGUUUGGCAAACGGUGAAGCCGGACUUAUUUGGGGAAGCACAUGACGUUAUCGACUUAUACUAUUUUAGUUGGUUCGUUGUUACAUAGUAGUAGUUAAUUAGCUAUUAAUCUUGUCAUCUGCUGAUUUUUAGAUAAUGUUUUGUUAAGUUCUUAAGACUAUUAAACAAUUAUAUAUCACCUAUGUAAUGACUUACUCUAUAUGAGUUAUUUAUUUAUAAUAUUAUUUUUAUCUUAUAAUUA